GGCCCCAACAGCAUGGAGACUGGCACACUAGAAGACAAGGGAAGUUAGUGUUCAAGGGAGAGAAAAAUACAAAAUAGGACUGAGGAGGUUCCCAGACCUCCUGGAUUCUAUUCAUAGACCUCUUGAGAGUGUAUGAUAUACAGAUGAAGAACCCAACUUGUGCUCCACUAUUCCUCCUGCUCACAUUUAUGUUUUGGAAAUACUUCUUGCUCUUAUGUGGAGAGUGAAGAUGGGAAACCAUGAGGAGAAAGGUUAUAUUAUGUUGAAAAUUAGACACAAAGCUUCUUCUAAGACUAAUAAUAUGCUGCAAAAUUUUAUUUUGGAAAUGAAAAAGUUAUCAUUAAUUUCAUAGCUAAUAUUUUUCCCAAACAUUGUACAUAAAUUCAUCAUAUCUAUAAUUUUCAGCCAGGUUUUGAAAACCAGUCAGAUUUGGGUAGUUUGCUAUGAUUUAAACUUUACAAAUUAUUAUUUGAUUAUUU
rnacentral:lncRNA from 1 species